AUUAUUCCACUGUGAAGUUAGGUAGGGGGUCUAUUGAGAAGUUCAGGAAGAUCUUGGUCAGGGAAAUCAUCUUCUCCAACUAACUUGCCAAGCCUGAUUCCUGAUUUUACCUUUCACUAUAUAACAUACCUACCCACUCUUUAUACCCAAGUGUCUUACCCAGGGGUGAAGAACUGAAACAUCUUCCUGAACCAGCCUCUGUCACCACUGUCCUCCUGGCAGCAUCCUGAAUUGCGAAGAGCCACCCCGCCCCCCAGACAUUCAGUGACCUAGACUCAGACCUCUGGGGAAGGACACAGUCUCCAGGCUCAGCCAGUAGGCAGGGGACUGUGACAGAAAGGGACAUGUGGCCAAGUCCCUCUGGUGAGAUACAAACCUGGACUUUGGCCAAACCUGGUUUUCAACCUAGAAGCAUCUUUCUCCUGGACCUGGAAGCGAUCCCUUUGAAACACAGUCAUAAAGACAGGGCCUCUGUCUCCUGGGUCCUGUGGGAAGGUAGGAGCCUAACUCAGAUAAGUGCCAUUUAGCAAACACGGGUGGCCUGAUCACAUCCAAUGCUCCCCUUAAUAUCCUUCUGUACUUUUCACUUAGCACAUCCUGGAAUUUUAAAAGCCUCCUGCCUUUUGUAUCACUGAAGUUGAACUCAGUUGAUACUGAAAUCUCUCUCCCCUUCAACAGUUGUAUGUAUAAAAUAUGUCUUACUUUUUUUUUUUUUUUUUUUUUUGAGAUAGAGUCUCACUCUGUCACCCAGGCUGGAGUGCAGUGGCACAACCUUGGCUCACUGCAACCUCCGCCUCCUGGGUUCAAGUGAUUCUCUGGCUUCAGCUUCCCAAGUAGCUGGGAUUACAGGCACACACCACC
rnacentral:lncRNA from 10 species